AUUUUAUGUUUUAUUUAGCUAUUACGAUUGCCAUCUUUUGUCAAUUGAUCAUCGUUUAAAGCGAAUUGGGAUAACGAGUUUUAUGGUUGUCAAUUGGAUCUGAACUAAUUCUUUUGUGCUAUGUUAUAACUAGUUUAGUCAACAAUUAAAAAUGUUACUAAAUUUUGACUUUGCUGAUCUGGCCUCUUAUUGAUUGUGAUUCCAAGUCAACGUCUUCCAUGUGUGUGUGUGUGUGUGUGUGUCGUUGAUUAUCCCUGUUGAUUUUGGCCAAAAAAUAUGUAACGACUCGAAAGUCAAAACAGUUUCUGAAAGUGUUGUGUGUCAUGCGUUCCUGCAUGCAUGUGUGCGUUUCGCUUGAUUCAUUUUCUGAAGAUGUGAAAUCAUUUUCAUCAGCUCUUUAUUCCAUAAUUGGGUCGUGUGAAGAUGAGGAAUCUAUGUAAUAUAAAUAGGGCACCUUCUGUUAUACAACCAAACAGCAACAUCUCUGGAUUAUUAAUUACUGUUUCUAUAAUUUAGAUUUGUAAAUAUCGAUUUUAACCACAAUUAUAAAGAAGUUUUGAAUCACCUUGAUUGAUGAAUGAUAAGAUUGGAGUCUACUUAAAAAAAAAUAUCAACAUUAAGAGUCUUUUGUCUGUCAAAUUUUGAUGACAAACCUGCCUUCUUAUCAAUGAAGCAGAAGGUUUAUGGAAUCAAAUUGUUGCUGAUAUAGAACCAUUCUAUUGUUCCGCACAUGUGGAGUGGAUGUAAUUGGUUUAAGGACAACUUA
rnacentral:lncRNA from 1 species